rnacentral:rRNA from 1 species
AGUGAACGCUGGCGGUAGGCCUAACACAUGCAAGUCGAACGGCAGCACAGGAGAGCUUGUUCUCUGGGUGGCGAGUGGCGGACGGGUGAGGAAUACAUCGGAAUCUACUUUUUCGUGGGGGAUAACGUAGGGAAACUUACGCUAAUACCGCAUACGACCUACGGGUGAAAGCAGGGGAUCUUCGGACCUUGCGCGAUUGAAUGAGCCGAUGUCGGAUUAGCUAGUUGGCGGGGUAAAGGCCAACCAAGGCGACGAUCCGUAGCUGGUCUGAGAGGAUGAUCAGCCACACUGGAACUGAGACACAGUCCGGACUCCUACGGGAGGCAGUAGUGGGGAAUAUUGGACAAUGGGCGCAAGCCUGAUCCAGCCAUACCGCGUGGGUGAAGAAGGCCUUCGGGUUGUAAAGCCCUUUUGUUGGGAAAGAAAUCCAGCUGGUUAAUACCCGGUUGGGAUGACGGUACCCAAAGAAUAGGCACCGGCUGACUUCGUGCCAGCAGCCGCCGUAA